rnacentral:rRNA from 1 species
UGAGGAAUCUUGGGCAAUGGGCGAGAGCCUGACCCAGCCAUGCCGCGUGAGGGAAGACGGCCUUCUGGGUUGUAAACCUCUUUUAUACAGGAAGAAAAAGGUCAUGCGUGGCCAAUUGACGGUACUGUAGGAAUAAGCACCGGCUAACUCCGUGCGGCUAACUCCGUGCCAGC